GACGAAGGAUGCAAGCGUUAUCCGGAUUCAUUGGGUUUAAAGGGAGCGUAGGUGGCCUUGUAAGUCAGUGGUGAAAUCCUGUCGCUUAACGAUAGAAUUGCCAUUGAUACUGCAGGGCUUGAGUACAGUUGCCGUUGGCGGAAUAUGACAUGUAGUGGUGAAAUACUUAGAUAUGUCAUAGAACACCGAUUGCGAAGGCAGCUGACGAAACUGUAACUGACACUGAGGCUCGAAAGUGUGGGGAUCAAACAGG
rnacentral:rRNA from 1 species